rnacentral:rRNA from 1 species
UACAGAGGGUGCGAGCGUUAAUCGGAAUUACUGGGCGUAAAGCGUGCGUAGACGGUUAUUUAAGUCGGGUGUGAAAGCCCCGGGCUCAACCUGGGAACUGCAUUUGAAACUGGCGGGCUUGAGUGUGGCAGAGGGGGGUGGAAUUCCGCGUGUAGCAGUGAAACGCGUAGAGAUGCGGAGGAACACCGAUGGCGAAGGCAGCCCCCUGGGCCAACACUGACGCUCAGGCACGAAAGCGUGGGGAGCAAACAGG